rnacentral:rRNA from 1 species
GAUGAACGCUGGCGGCGUGCCUAAUACAUGCAAGUCGAGCGAACAGACGAGGAGCUUGCUCCUCUGACGUUAGCGGCGGACGGGUGAGUAACACGUGGAUAACCUACCUAUAAGACUGGGAUAACUUCGGGAAACCGGAGCUAAUACCGGAUAACAUGUUGAACCGCAUGGUUCAACAGUGAAAGACGGUCUUGCUGUCACUUAUAGAUGGAUCCGCGCCGCAUUAGCUAGUUGGUAAGGUAACGGCUUACCAAGGCAACGACGCGUAGCCGACCUGAGAGGGUGAUCGGCCACACUGGAACUGAGACACGGUCCAGACUCCUACGGGAGGCAGCAGUAGGGAAUCUUCCGCAAUGGGCGAAAGCCUGACGGAGCAACGCCGCGUGAGUGAAGAAGGUCUUCGGAUCGUAAAACUCUGUUAUUAGGGAAGAACAAAUGUGUAAGUAACUAUGCACGUCUUGACGGUACCUAAUCAGAAAGCCACGGCUAACUACGUG